UACAGAGGUCCCAAGCGUUGUUCGGAUUCACUGGGCGUAAAGGGUGCGUAGGUGGUCGGGUAAGUCUGAUGUGAAAUCUCCGAGCUCAACUCGGAAACUGCAUCGGAUACUAUUCGGCUCGAGGGUUGGAGGGGGGACUGGAAUACUUGGUGUAGCAGUGAAAUGCGUAGAUAUCAAGUGGAACACCAGUGGCGAAGGCGAGUCCCUGGACAACUCCUGACACUGAGGCACGAAAGCUAGGGGAGCAAACAGGAUUAGAAACCCCAGUAGUCC
rnacentral:rRNA from 1 species